UGUUCUUUGUCUGUUGUUACACAGAUUGAAACAGAUCUUUGGUCUUGCCUUUGCUGACUGCUGAUCUGAUCGUCUCAAGUCUGGUGACCUGCUGCAGAAGCUCUCUCCCUCUAUCAUUAACAAGCCAUUCAGUCUGUCCUAUCACUCUCCCCACUCUAUCUAUUUUGACAAGCCGUUCUAUCUUGCUUCACUCUAUCCCACAAGCUCUAAGUUAUCAAAAAUCAUGUUUUUAACUGGCAUCAAAUUUUGAAUGGAAUCAAGUUUUGUCUGGCGAAAUCAAGUUUUGACAUGGCCCCAAUUUUUGGGAAAUUGAAGUUACCAGUACUUCAUCGAUCUGUUACAGAAUUCUGAGAGGUCUCUGCUCUCACUGCUCCUUCUUUCCUAUCGUUAAACUCUCUCACAUCCAGUCUUUUUGCUGGAAAUUACAAGUAGAAAGUUGAAAUUACAAUAAUAGAAUUACAGUACAGUAGAAACUACUUACACAGCCCUACAUUUGUAAUUUAAAUUUU